GAUGAACGCUGGCUACAGGCUUAACACAUGCAAGUCGAGGGGAAACGACGGGGAAGCUUGCUUCCUUGGGCGUCGACCGGCGCACGGGUGAGUAACGCGUAUCCAACCUGCCUCUGACUGAGGGAUAACCCGUCGAAAGUCGGCCUAAUACCUCAUGGCAUCGUCUGCGGGCAUCCAACGACGAUUAAAGAUUUCAUCGGUCAGAGAUGGGGAUGCGUCUGAUUAGCUUGUUGGCGGGGUAACGGCCCACCAAGGCUACGAUCAGUAGGGGUUCUGAGAGGAAGGUCCCCCACAUUGGAACUGAGACACGGUCCAAACUCCUACGGGAGGCAGCAGUGAGGAAUAUUGGUCAAUGGGCGAGAGCCUGAACCAGCCAAGUAGCGUGCAGGAUGACGGCCCUAUGGGUUGUAAACUGCUUUUAUGCGGGGAUAAAGUGAGGGACGUGUCCUUCAUUGCAGGUACCGCAUGAAUAAGGACCGGCUAAUUCCGUGCCAGCAGCCGCGGUAAUACGGAAGGUCCGGGCGUUAUCCGGAUUUAUUGGGUUUAAAGGGAGCGUAGGCCGUGGAUUAAGCGUGUUGUGAAAUGCAGGUGCUCAACGUCUGCACUGCAGCGCGAACUGGUCCACUUGAGUGUGCGCAACGCAGGCGGAAUUCGUCGUGUAGCGGUGAAAUGCUUAGAUAUGACGAAGAACUCCGAUUGCGAAGGCAGCUUGCGGGAGCACAACUGACGCUGAAGCUCGAAAGUGCGGGUAUCGAACAGG
rnacentral:rRNA from 1 species